GGGGAAUAUUGGACAAUGGGCGCAAGCCUGAUCCAGCCAUGCCGCGUGAGUGAUGAAGGCCCUAGGGUUGUAAAGCUCUUUCACCGGUGAAGAUAAUGACGGUAACCGGAGAAGAAGCCCCGGCUAACUUCGUGCCAGCAGCCGCGGUAAUACGAAGGGGGCUAGCGUUGUUCGGAAUUACUGGGCGUAAAGCGCACGUAGGCGGAACGGUCAGUUAGGGGUGAAAUCCCAGGGCUCAACCCUGGAACUGCCUUUAAUACUGCCGGUCUGGGGUUCGAGAGAGGUGAGUGGAAUUCCGAGUGUAGAGGUGAAAUUCGUAGAUAUUCGGAGGAACACCAGUGGCGAAGGCGGCUCACUGGCUCGAUACUGACGCUGAGGUGCGAAAGCGUGGGGAGCAAAC
rnacentral:rRNA from 1 species